rnacentral:rRNA from 1 species
UUACGCCUACGGGGGGCAGCAGUGAGGAAUAUUGGUCAAUGGUCGGGAGACUGAACCAGCCACGCCGCGUGAGGGAGGAAGGUACAGAGUAUCGUAAACCUCUUUUGUCAGGGAACAAAGGCGGGGACGUGUCCCCGGAUGAGUGUACCUGAAGAAAAAGCAUCGGCUAACUCCGUGCCAGCAGCCGCGGUAAUACGGAGGAUGCGAGCGUUAUCCGGAUUUAUUGGGUUU